UACCAAGGGGGUAAGCGUUAUUCGAAAUGAUUGGGCGUAAAGGGUUCGUAGAUGGAUAGAUAAUCUUGUGUGAAAGUUUAAUUAAAAAUUAUGAGAGCUUAAUAAAUUAAUUUUCUUGAGUGAAUAGUAGGAUAACAGAAUUCUAUAAGGAAAAGUAAAAUUUUUUGAUAUAUAGAGGAAUGCCAGUGGUGAAAGCGGUUAUCUAGGAUAUCACUGACGUUGAUGAAGGAAAGUGUAGGGAGCAAACAGGAUUAGAGACCCUGGUGGUCUACCCUGUCAAAUAUGAAUGCUAAUAUUUGGUAAAAUAUAUCAUAUAUAAAGUUAACACGUUAAGCAUUCCGCCUGGGAAGUUCGAUCGCAAGAUUGGACCUCAAAGGAAUUGACGGUUGAUCUACACAAGUGGUGGAGCAUGUGGUGUAAUGCGAUAAUACACGCGAAAUCUUACCAGUUCUUGAAUAUAAUUAAAAGUCUUUUAAUAAAAGAUAUUUAUUAAAUUUCAAUAAUCUUAAAAUGCAAUUAUACAGGUGUUGCAUGGCUGUCGUCAGCUCGUGACGUGAGGUGUUUGGUUCAGUCCUUUUAACGAGCGCAACUCUUAUUUUAUGUUAAUAACAUAUUUGUGUCUUCUAAAUUUGUAACUCAUAAAAAAUGAUUAAUGAUAAAUUAGUGGAAGGGGAGAGGGACGUCAAGCCUUUACGGGCCUUAUGAACUGGGGUACUCCCGUUCUUCCAAGGUAAUUUCAAAAAGUUAUACGAAAAAGGUAAUGGAGAGUAUAUCUUUAAAAAUUUCCGUGUUCGGAUUGUAAAUUGCAAUUCGUGACCUGAAGGUGGAAUCACAUGUAAUCGUAAAUCAUCAUGUUACGGGGAAUUUAGUACUUAGAUCU
rnacentral:rRNA from 1 species